CGUAGGGUGCAAGCGUUGUCCGGAAUUAUUGGGCGUAAAGAGCUCGUAGGCGGUUUGUCGCGUCUGCUGUGAAAACUCGGGGCUUAACCCCGGGCCUGCAGUGGGUACGGGCAGACUAGAGUGCGGUAGGGGGAGACUGGAAUUCCUGGUGUAGCGGUGAAAUGCGCAGAUAUCAGGAGGAACACCGGUGGCGAAGGCGGGUCUCUGGGCCGUAACUGACGCUGAGGAGCGAAAGCGUGGGGGAGCGAACAGGAUUAGAUACCCUGGUAGUCCACGCCGUAAACGUUGGGCGCUAGGUGUGGGGCUCUUUCCACGAGUUCCGUGCCGCAGCAAACGCAUUAAGCGCCCCGCCUGGGGAGUACGGCCGCAAGGCUA
rnacentral:rRNA from 1 species